CCCCGAAUUGAUAACUGGAUGGAUUGAUCGGUGUUCAGUCCCUUUCUGUCUUUUAAGUAUUCGGGAGAAUAAGUGGGAAAUGCUUCUUACACGGUGCUGAUAUGCCAAUUAUCUUUUGCCGUUUACUUUUCCUUAACAUCG
rnacentral:snoRNA from 1 species